AGAUUGAACGCUGGCGGCAUGCCUUACGCAUGCAAGUCGAACGGCAGCACGGGAGCAAUCCUGGUGGCGAGUGGCGAACGGGUGAGUAAUACAUCGGAACGUGCCCAAUCGUGGGGGAUAACGCAGCGAAAGCUGUGCUAAUACCGCAUAAGAUCUACGGAUGAAAGCAGGGGAUCGCAAGACCUUGCGCGAAUGGAGCGGCCGAUGGCAGAUUAGGUAGUUGGUGAGGUAAGGCUCACCAAGCCUUCGAUCUGUAGCUGGUCUGAGAGGACGACCAGCCACACGUGGGACUGAGACACCGGCCCAGACUCCGUACGGGAGCAGCGAGGUGGGGAAUUUUGGACAAGUGGGACGAAAGCC
rnacentral:rRNA from 1 species